CACAUGCUGUUGUCAGAGCAAAACACUUUUGCAGCAUAAAGUCAGAUCUACGUCUUUUGAAAUAACACUUAAAAACGCAGGAUAAGUAAUUGCCUGAAAGCCUCAGCCGAACUGCCAACCGCACCUUCGGAUGGAAUUUGGAAGGUACCCAUGUCUAAGCUAAUGGUGAGGAUUGGUCCAAAAUUCAGAUCCAGCCUGGAUUCCUCCAUCUGUGUAGUCCUGCCUCAACCUACGACUGCUGAUGGAUCACAGCAACGUGGACCUUUCUCUCUCCUUACUCCCCAGCAUCAGAUCACCAAAAGGGCCUGAGAUAAUACUGGAUGAACCACCACAAGACUGCGAUUGGAAAGUGUGGGGAGAAGACAUCAUCUCUCACACAGGGAGAUGGUUGAUGCAACUGGUUCCUGUUGUUGGGUAGUGAUUCAGUUCUCUGUCAAGGCACAAGCUACUAGAGGCCAGAGAAACACCAUAUGGACUGUUCCUGUCCAGACUCCUUCUCAUCAGUGCUUUGAGCUAUAUGAAGUACUAAGAACCAAGGCAAGAUGAGUGUAUGACCAGGUAUUUGCAGCUCUCACAGUCUAAACCCGAACCUCAACACAAAUUUUCAUCCCUUGCUUCUGCAGCAAGUUCUUCUUACCCAGUUCCUGCUGACAUCCAGGGAGCAGGCACAAACCAGCUCAGAAAAUGAACAACUAGAAGGCUGAGGUCACAAGUUGGACUUGGAAGAAGCAACUUUCAUGCAGAGAUGUGACUGGAAUAUGAAUACUCUUCCAGGGUUUAUUCCUGUCUGUUGGAAGAGAUGGAAGCGAUUCCAUUGACUCCAACAGACUCUGCUUUCUACUGGAUUAAAGAUGAUGUUUGCAUGAUCAGAUUUGCUGGUGUUGUCCCACUAAUGAAGCAGAGAAUUUUAUAAACUCG